rnacentral:rRNA from 1 species
AUGGGAACGCGAAGAACCUUACCUAGACUUGACAUCUCCUGAAUAGUGUAGAGAUACAUGAAGCCCUUCGGGGCAGGAAGACAGGUGGUGCAUGGUUGUCGUCAGCUCGUGUCGUGAGAUGUUGGGUUAAGUCCCGCAACGAGCGCAACCCUUAUUACUAGUUGCUACCAUUAAGUUGAGCACUCUAGUGAGACUGCCCGGGUUAACCGGGAGGAAGGCGGGGAUGACGUCAAAUCAUCAUGCCCCUUAUGUCCAGGGCAACACACGUGCUACAAUGGUGAGUACAGAUAGAUGCGAUACCGCAAGGUGGAGCCAAACUCUAAAACUCAUCCCAGUUCGGAUUGUAGGCUGCAACUCGCCUACAUGAAGUUGGAGUUGCUAGUAAUCGCGAAUCAGAAUGUCGCGGUGAAUACGUUCCCGGGUCUUGUACACACCG